rnacentral:rRNA from 1 species
AUACGGAGGGUGCAAGCGUUGCUCGGAAUCACUGGGCGUAAAGCGAACGCAGGCGGGAAGUUAAGUCGGAUGUGAAAGCCCAGGGCUCAACCCUGGAACUGCAUUCGAAACUGGCUUUCUUGAGUUCGGGAGAGGUAAGCAGAAUUCCUGGAGUAGAGGUGAAAUUCGUAGAUAUCAGGAGGAACACCCGUGGCGAAAGCGGCUUACUGGCCCGAUACUGACGCUCAUGUUCGAAAGCGUGGGGAGCAAACAGGAUUAGAAACCCCGGUAGUCC